UACGUAGGGGGCAAGCGUUGUCCGGAAUUAUUGGGCGUAAAGAGCGUGUAGGCGGUUUGUCGCGUCUGCUGUGAAAACUCGGGGCUUAACUCCGGGCCUGCAGUGGGUACGGGCAGACUAGAGUGCGGUAGGGGAGACUGGAAUUCCUGGUGUAGCGGUGAAAUGCGCAGAUAUCAGGAGGAACACCGGUGGCGAAGGCGGCUCUCUGGGACGGUACUGACGCUGAGACGCGAAAGCGUGGGGAGCGAACAGG
rnacentral:rRNA from 1 species